GGGGGUCCCCGCUCCGCUCCGCGGGCGGUGGCGCGGCCCGGAGUCCUGAGUGAGGCGGGCAGGGGCAGCGUUUGCCCAGGGCGGGGCGAGGUGAGAGUGCCCUAUUUGGGAAUGAGGGCGGUGGGGUCAUGUCACUGGACCCCCCCAAGAAGGAAAAGGGGAGUGCUGACUUCGGUGAACCGCCAGCCCCGGUGCGUGCCCACCCAGGCACCCUUUGCCUUGCCUGGGCCCAGGCCCUCCGGAAUACCCUGGCUCGCGUUCCUCCCCGAGCUCCUGGGGACUCCGCGGACCACCACACUGGGUGCCCGGGUUUGUGCCCAGGGUGCCCCAGAGCCCCAGCUGUUCCCGCCUGAUGGCUGCCCACGAGUGCUGGGUCCGGCAUUUGCAUCUUAGGCUGCAAUCUGGGGGAUAAAGACACCUCAUCCGCAGAUAGCUCAGACGCCUCACCAUUCCCAGACAACCCCUUCGGCUCCCUUGUUUCGUUCCCACCAGCUAUGCUGACAUCCCAGGUGAAACGCUAGCAUCCCAGGAGAGCACCUCUGCCACCCACUCUGAGAACCGAGAACCACCUGCCCACCGGUGAACUACUCUAAGAGCACCUGGGGCUUCAGAGGCACUUGGGGGCUGAAACAAAACGUGUCCAUAGCUUGAAGUUGGUGGCACCAGAGGGAACAAACACCAGUGCGAGUCCCUGGUUUCCAGCUCCCCCCACCCCACCCAGUGGUUUUAUUCCGGGGUUUGCGGACACGUAGCAAGCGCGCAUCUUCUCUGGGUGCGGAGGAAACAGUGCAUUGUGGGAAACGCACAGAGCCGCUCGAGAGGAGAGACAGCCAGCAGGGAAUGAAUGCACCGUCACGUCAGUCGUUCGACUCCCGCUUAGGAGCAGAAAAGACGGAAGUGGUGUCGAGGGGGACGGAAAUGAAAAUGAUAAGCAUUUGGGGAUAAAAAUCACAAGUUUCUAACAAUGCUUUCCUUCCCACCUUCCUGUCGCGAGCUAUGAUAUGUGGUUCUGUUGGUACCGAAACAUGUGAGAAGACCAUGAGAAUCUUUUGAAUUCCCAUGGCGGUAACAGCCAUCACAGUCAUCUGCCCUCCACAGUGGGUCCAGAGACUGGAAAUGGCCUUGCAGAUGAUUCUGUCCACCUGCCAGAUGGCACCACCGCCCAGAUGCUUGCAAUUUUGUCAAGGUGGAACCUAGGUGCAGGCAGCCUGUCCCAAGCCCUGUGAUAUCCGUGCCUGGGGCGGAAGGCCCGUCUCCUCCCUCUCACUCCACUCACACACUGUUGUAAUUGAAUGGGGCACGAAGUUGAAAGCAGCCUGAAGUCAGUUGCGAAAGACGGAAAUUCAUCUUGAGUUGAGUUGGACAAAAAUGAAAAUAUAUUCACUGGCGUAAUUGACAAGUUCAUAAUUAAGACCCAGGUAUGUCUUCAUUUCUUCUGUUUCCUUCUGUAUGGAUUCGUUUUCCUACUGGCAGCCUCGGGCUUACAUCCUUGGUUUAGAUCCUAGAGGAAAAAAGAUGUAUCUUUUCCCCAAUAACUGGGACAAAAGCAUGGAGGACACAUCCCUUUGGCCUGUCUGGCCCACCCCUGAAUCAAGCUUCACUGUCCAGAAGGAUGGAACACACUGAUGGAUGAGGCCCAGGGACUAAAACUGGCCCAGCGGUUCCCAAAGAAGAAUAGACUUCUUUUCCCAAAAGGGCAAAUGGUAGCGAGCAAGCAAGAAGGAGAGAUACAGGCAUAAAUUAUACUGAGGUCAUGUCAGUUAUCGGGAACCCUGGGCAGACAGGGCUUUGUAUUUGGGGAGUGAUUUUCUUCCCUCUCUUCAAGAUCUGCCUCAUAAGUAGCCAUUGUCUCAUGAGACUGUUUCUUCUCUCUCGUUCCUUUCUGCCAGGGGCCGGGCCUAAGCUGGGUGCCAGCCUGAAAUGAGACUUUGAUUGGCAGCUCGGGACCUAAGCGUUGGGAAGGGACAGACUAGACCGGAACCCUCUCGAUGGCUCCCACGAUGAUCUUAAUAUGUAACCCUCUCUCUCAUUUGCGUCUACCCGCAGUCGGGUCUAGCUUUUAUUUUAAGGAUAGUAAGAUGGAAAUAUUGUAGUAAAACAUCCAAUGUGUUUUCUUGGUGCUGUACUAAUUACUGCCAAGAGUGGUUUUGUCUGCAGCCCCCGCAUUUUGUACCCCCACAGUAGGGCUGAGCAAUAAAGGGCUGUCUGCUGUCCAGCAGAAAAAACAGAUUAAUAGACGUUAAUAGAGCCUUCCAGAACAGAGCCAUUAACCAGCGACUCGCCAUAAUUGAAUAGCAACUGCGCUACAUUCUAAUUUCACUCACCAGGUGAUAAGUUGAUUUUACAGUUGAUAAUUUAACUUCUAUCACAUAAAAAUGUCAUUUGGCUGAGUCAACUUUCUUUCAAAUAUGAAUUUCCAUUGAAAAACACACUAAUGAUGAAAGGAAAGGAAUGUUUAUCACUGUGUCAGAAACGCAAGGCCGACUUAGGGCCACUUCUACCUGGACGUGGCGUCCUGGCUGACGGCCCAGGCUACCUCGCCAGACGGGGAGGGGGCUGUUCGUUUCCCACCACGUCCCAGCCACGUGGCAACACCAGCUCACCGUGCCUCAAGCCUCCCAGCUUUAAAAUGCAUCUAACACACGCAGGGAAGAAUAAGCGACGUAAUCCACGUAAAGUGGCGCCAUGCCCGGCACGUAGUAGGUGCUUCCUAAACGUUAGCUUUGGUAACUGUAAAGAAACCAGUUUUAUAAUGCGGUACAUAGUCAUCUGAGCGGUGACGCCCCCUCACUCGGCUCGUGUUCCACUGAAUGGAAAACACUCGCUCCCAUUGUGCUACUUUGUUCAUCUUAGUCAAUCAGAAGACACGUGCACUCGUGUCUGGCUCGAGAUGAAUUUCACUCCAGCGGCCACAGCGUUUCAGCUCCUUACUCCAUCUCUUCUGCAUUGAGAUGACUUUACACCCAGAAAAGAGCUCAAUCAGUUCAAGUUAAACAGAGUGCAAUAACUUGGUAGUAAUUCUGAAAUUGGAUGCUAAAAUAUUACCUCUUCAUUUCCUUAAGGGCUUAGAAAUAAAGCGGACCACCGAUUAAGAUGGCUUUUGAGUCGAUCCAGUGAAUAGAGCAAUGUAUUCUAGUCCAUUGCUGCUACCUUUGCUUUAGCAAGUUAAUGACACAAAAUGCAGAGGUGAGCAUUCCAGCCGCAGUGUGCAUAGGGAUAAAGACAGGAACGUGGGUGUGCCCACCCACGAGUGCGCAUAUGAUGUGAUCAUUUGCGUUUUCUGAUUGGUUUGCUGGGUUCGGGUUCACUGCCCCCUAGGAUUAGCUUAUAAUACAGGAGUGCCCUCUACUGAGCUUCUCGUAUAAUAAAGGGAGGCCUCUACAGAGGCAGAUUUGCCUAGUGCCUAGUAAAUGUUCACUCCGUAUUUACCGAAUGAAUGAAUGAAUGAAUGAAUGAACGAACGAACAAACGAGUGACUCCCUAACCUGGUUCUCUGUCUAGGGCUGCGGGACUAGAUUUCUUCGGGAAUAAAGGAGGCCAGCUGGGCAGAGGAAGCAAUGAGGCCUGACGCAGCCGGAGCCAGGUGAUCCAGGAUCGAGGUUUUGUCAGAAGGAGCCAGCUUUACCCAGGCACAGGACACUGUCCACUCUGCUUACUUCCCAGGGGAAGAUGGUGGCUAAUCUGACAGGCUCAAGCCUAGUCCAUCAUUGGUCACAUUUCAUUGUGAUCAGUGAAGGGACAUGCAUCCAAGAGUGGCUUCAGUGUCUAUGCCCUUCCAAGGACAGAAAUAGGUGGGACGUCGGAUACUAGCGUUUGCCCAGCGGCAUAAAGCGACACCGCCUGGUCUAUACAAAGGAGAUGACAAGUGAAGGGAUUUAGGCCCCAAUCCCAAGUCUCCACCUCUCACAUGACCCGGAAGAACAUUCCAGUAAAGUGACACCUAAAAUGGAAGGCUACCGGAAAGACCCAAGCUACCUGAGCCUCGUGCCUUCUUAAGUCAAAUGGCUGAAAUCACCAUUUCUUCUGACUUUUUUUUCUGUUUUCUUUUGUCGAAGUCACUCUCCUGAUAAACGCUCUCUGCAACGAAGCAUUAAUUUUUUAAAAAUCCUGUGUUCGGAUGGCUUGAGAUUUCCAAUUUCCUGUCUUUCCUUCCUUCCUUGUCUCUUGCAAGGCUGUCUGCCUACCGUCUCGUCCAGCCGUGGCCCCCCGUAGCCAGCCUGGGCCAUGGGACGUGGCGACACUGGUCAUCGCAACUCCUUUUCCCACUCAACAAAGAGAAGGAGGAACACUCUCAGACAGGCGAGUGGAAAGAGUACCCAGCGACUGCCCAGGGUCACAUGUGGCAGCCCGCCCUCAUUGCCGUGUUCACGGACAUGCAGGAGACACGUAUGUGCGAGUCACGAGUCACAGUCCAUGUCUGCACCAGAGCAAAGAGCCCAAGUGACAUACGGGAAACGAACCAACCAUCGUUUCAAAAACGAUACAUUCUUUGGGGGAAAUAAUUCAAUAUUCAUUCAAGACACAGUGUGUGAACUUGUAUUUUGUGUCCAGUGAUGGAACGCUAAGGCACAGUGCUGAUCCUCAAGGAGUUGACAGACCAGUGACAAAUGCGGAGGGGGCCGCAGGCGAGAGCAGCCGUGCGUACGUUCUGAGCGAGAGGCGGCCCAGAGUGUGACGCGUGGGGCUGGGGGUGGAAAGGAGGGAGGAGAACCGUCGGGUGACAUCUCAACAAGAAACGCAACUGACAGACGUUCCGUCAGCUCUCCGGUGUGCGCAGUUCUGUCCCCAUGUCCUCCCGAAUGCACAGUGGCCCCUGAUGGCCUUGGGGUGGCUCGAUCAUGGGCCAAUGUGGGAAGACAAAGAAGUUUGCUUGAGAAGGGACAACGCAGCAUCUCGGGGACAGGCCACCGGGGAAUGGCACAAGAGUCAAGCACAAGACCCCUGACAAGUCCGGGUGACGACUGUACUGGGAGUUUCCUCUUGGAGCCCCAGAGGCCUCUGCGCCCCGACUUCGGGUGCAUCAUAAAAAGUCACACUCAUAGUCUUGAAGUCACACCUGCCAUUUAGUAGGCCAGCCCCGAGGGCCGCUGUGUCGGAGGGUGACGGUGAUCACGACAGCAACGGAAAAGGCUUCCAGGCCUUCGGUGACUCUUACGCGCUAGCUGAUCGAUCACGCCUUUCAGCGAGUGUGUCGUAACCUCGAAGAUUUAGCACUUCAUAGUUCAAAGAUUUAUUUCGAUAAUACAAUUUUAAUGUUAAGUGGAUUCGUAUUGAAAAGGAAGUCAGGAAAAUGAUGAGGAGAUUCGCUCCGGUCUCGUCGAUCAUAGGAGAAGCCGCGUGUGACACGGAAGGCUGACGUGGCCCCUUGGUACACACUGCAGGCCCCGCCGGGCCCACAGGAGGUAACGCCUUACCUUGCCCCCCGCCGCCACCCGCAUGCUAAUCCGCAUGUCCCUUACCUUCCGUUCAGCACGUGCUGGUUUCCGCUGUGGGCUGGGGACUCUCUUGGCCACAAGGACACACAGAUUUACAAAUCCUCUUAAAGCGCCACCCGCAGUCUAGCCUCCCCUACCGCACAACCGCCCUGUCCGCCCUCUGUGUCCCUUCUGCCCUCUCUGCCUCUGCCUCUGACUCCUCUAUGUCCUACCUCCCUGGUCUCGUCCUCUGUCCCUCUCCUG